AUGGACCACUCACAACCCUCCACCCACCGACACCCUGCAAGGCCACCUGUUGUGGGGGAAACUGUCCCUACAGUUUCCCUGGCUCUUCCACAUCCUAACCAGCUGGCAAACUGGGCAGGGAGCACCUACAGCCUGAACUUCCCCAUCUUUGCCCUCAAGAGGAUGACUGGCACUGGGAAUCUGGACAAGAGGAAGAAGAGCACCCAUGUUCAGGCCAGACUGGAAAAAAGAAAAAACCUCUACCAGCCGUUCGGGGCGACGGACUUUUCAUCCCAGAGUCAUGGCCAAUUUGUCCGUAACCUUGUGGAGAAGACCCCGGCGCUGGUGAACGCUGUUGUGACUUACUCGAAGCCUCGACUGGCCACAUUUUGGUACUACGCCAAGGUUGAGCUGGUUCCUCCCACCCCUGCUGAGAUCCCUACAGCUGUUCAGAGCCUGAAGAAAAUAGUCAUUAGUGCUCAGACUGGUAGCUUCAAACAGCUCACAGUUAAGGAAUCUGUGCUGAAUGGUUUGGUGGCCACUGAGGUGUUGAUAUGGUUUUAUGUUGGAGAGAUCAUAGGCAAGUGUGGCAUCAUUGACUAUGAUGUUUGAAGACCAAUCUUUAACAUCUGAUUAUAUUUGAUUUAUUAUUUGAGUGUUGUUGGACCAUGUGUGAUCAGAGUGCUAUCUGAAUAAAAUAAGAAAAUACAACAACAACAAAAAAUAAAAAACCUCCCAGAGCUAGGGUGCCUUACCCUGGGAUGACCACUAGGGUGGGCAGUCCCAGGUCAGUCCAGGCACGAAUUAACUGCGUGCUUGGCCCAGGGUCUGAGGGGAAGAGGUUGAGGGAAGACUCACCGUUGCGGUGCUGUUUGGGAUCACCUGGAUUAAAACAUCUGGAGCAGGACGGCCAGCUCUUCACAGGAGAAUUUAGAGUGAGAAGGUCUAAGUCACUCAAAACGUGUGUGGAUUUGCCCUAGAUGAGCUGUCACUGCUACCUGCACCACACAUAAAGUUCUGGAACUCUUGACCAGAGAAGGAUAGGAGAGAGUCUUUCUCCCUUCCAGGCAAGGCAGCCAGCUCUGUUGACCCCCUGGCGUUCAAGCAACACCAUGGAGCAGCCCUGGCCAGAUGCCAUCAAUUACCAGAGGGCUACUGGGAGCUGGUUGCUGGAAGGCUGAAAAAGGAAAGUGAAUUUAGGUCCCUCUCCAGAGCAGGUAGUGGUGGUUAGGUACCUCUGAAUGGGCACCUUUCAGUUUCUCUUUUUUUUUUUUUUUUUUUUUUU